UCUGGUUAGAGGAAUAGGCAGAUGUUUGUCUCUCAGUAAAGGAGAUCAUCCGUGCUUUGCACACUUGCCUUUCUUCUAGCUAUUUAAGCUUUUUCUGAUGCAGAUGCCACCCUGGAGCAUACCUUACUGUGAGCUUGUGAAGUGGCUCCUAGAACAUAUUUUCCGGCUAAGGUAGAAGAUGUUUCCUAGGGAGGACACCAGAACAGGAGAAAUAAAGUCAUAGAAAAAACAGUUCCUGGACCGGGAACCCAGGCCCAGCCCUGACACUGAGUCUCUCUGCUCCCAUGGACCAGGCACUUUUUCUCUCCAAACCUGUAAUCUAGAAAGUUUCUUUUCUAGUUCUAAAAAUCUGUGAUUCUAGGUACUGUGAAAACAAAAAAUAAGAAAGUAAGGGUAAAGAAAAUGGAGUGGAACGCUAAUAGAUGGGAAUUCAUUCAUUCACUUACUCAUUUAUUCAUUCAUUCUUCCUUUGUAUCUUCUAGCAAGAUGUCAUGGAGCCCCUAUUAAAUGAGAGGCGGGGACUGCUCACUCUCCCAGACAAGGGGGUGAGGAAAAAGGAUCACUAUUUGCUAGCACCAAGUAAAGCCCACCGUUGUCCACUGUGCAGUUAAUUCGGACCAGUGCAGGUAGCCAGAUGACAGACUGAGAGCUGGAUUCACAGGUUCCAUUCACUCAUCUCUAUAUUUCAAUGUGACCCUGAAGCAACAGAGGCUAAAAUAAGAGCAAUAGGAAAAAUCACCCCUGUUUAAAAAUAAAUGAUGAAUACAAACCUCACACCAUAUUGGAUUCCAAAGACCACAGAACUGCCAUGCCAGAACCAAAAAGAUAAGGCAGCAACAUAUACAGGAUAGAGCUUGAACUAGAAAUCUGGGUUGUUGCCCGUGAUCUGUCACCAACUACAACAUUGGUGUAGCUCUGAUCAAGGUACCUUCCAUCUCUGAGUCUUAGUCUCCUGUUCUUUAAAGUCUGGCCUGAGCUUAAACUGGAUUUUCUCCAAGGCCUCUUCCAGGUCUAAUGUUACAUGAUCGGUCGCUGAUAUUAUUCCAUAAGGUAGUAUUCCCUUCUAAAAACAGCAAAACACAAAUUCCUCAAAGCCAAAGGCAACACCUUUGUUUCCUUUGCAUGGCUGAUUAAAUUAAUGCAAACCAAGCAGGCUUUCACCGGAGAGCCUGGGAAAUUGCCGGAUAUUUGGGGAAGAUUACUGAGGUUAGUGCACAGUUGUCUUUGGCUAAGAUGUGCAGUCCUUCAGAGUUUUCUUGGAGUUUUGAUUAAGCAUAAAAUAGAGAAGCUCAAGCUAUGUAGACUCUCUAACCAAAAAUGCUUCUCAAGAAGGGCUCUUUUAUCACUUGCUAUAAGGGAGGUAUAUUUAUUCUUUGAAUCAUUUUUUAUAUCUCCAUUCCAUUCUUUGUGGUCGCAUAAAGCACACACAUCUAUUUACAGCCCUUCAAGGUAAGUACAAUCGUCCCCCUUUUAUAGAUGAGGAAAACAGGACUAACAGACAUGAGCUAAUUGGCCCAAACUGGAAAAUUGAAAUCCAGGUCUUACUGAUUCAAAAGCCUGAGCUUUUCCACAAAAUCAAUGGUUCCCAAGUAAUUCAUUCUAAAACUAAUGCUUGAGACACAUAUGAAUUUGGAGGAACCUUAGGAAUCCCUGUAUUAGCCACACAAAAGAAUAGCAGGGCUUCCUGGGCCCAUGGAAGAAGGUGACAAAGAAUAAAGGUGGAAUAUAAUGUCCGUGCUACAUCACAUAUGACAUGCUCUGACUUAGGACGCUUAAAAUUGGGAGCCUAAUUUUUGGUCUUGCUUCUCUAGCCCAUUAUUUCUAAAAAUAACACAUUUUUACUUUUCUAUAUUUCACAGGAUAUGGCAGAGUCUCCUUGAGAAAAACAAAGCAAAGAUGCUUUGCAAGUAAAUAUAUGCUGAAUGAAUGAAUUACCACAAGUUAUUCAUUCUCUGUUCAUUAAUUAAUGUUGCUUCAUUCAUCAGCUGCAUUGUCCAAUUUACUUUAGCAGACCGGCUGUCAUCAACUCCAGAGAGCUUAUGAAGGGUUGAGAUAAUUAGUCUCAAUACCCUUAAGGAGAAGUGGAGGUACAGUCUUGCUCUCUUGAAGAAUUGCACACUAAGAAACCACAAACCAGCAUCUAAGUGAGUUAUUGACUGAAUAUGAAAUGAUCAGAUUGAUGCAUACUUAAAUGUUGCAACUGCAUAGAUCUAGAAGGGAAUGUGUUUUCCAAAGUAGAUGGGAUGUUCCUUUUGCCAUGCUAAAGAUGUAGGUCUAAUCAGUCUUCUCUCUGAACUCUUAGCGAGAUGGAAAUUCUGCAGCAGGCUGCCUGCCGCCCGAUGUGCCCAGCAGAGCCGGCUUAAAAUGCAGGAAACACCUGUGGUAUAUUCUAAGAGGGCCCCUUCCCCUUAAAAUAAUCUCUUCCCCAUUAGCCUCUGGCAAUACUUGGCAUGCUGCCAUUCAUUUCUUGUGCCGAUAAUGGUUUUUUUCCUGGAAUAGGAGCGAUUGACAUGACAAGAACUGAGAUGGGGCAGUUCUGAUACAACUGACAAAGAAUUAGCAGUACAGAGCAUGAGACCCUGCAUAAAGACAAAUGGGAGAAGCCGAAGCGCAAGGUGUCAGCAGGUUUCGUCUCUUCUGAGGCCUCUCUCCUUGGCUUGCAGAUGGCCUCCUUCUCGCUGUGUCCUCACGUGGCCUUUUUUCUCCAUGUGCGUGCAUCCGUCGUGUCUCUCUUAUUCUUGGAAGAAAAACAUGUGCCUUCUGCUAACUGUCUGGUGUGUCCAGUUCUGAAUGUCAAGACCAAGUCCUGAAAAUGGGUACUGGGGACGACUUAAGAGACAAGGAAACAGAAACACAGAGAAACCCAAGAUCACCCAGCUGCUAAGGCCUUGAGCUGCUCUUUGUCCCUGUGCUGGAUUUGACCCACAGAGCCCAGCUCUUAACUACCAGCCUCUCUCAUCUCUUUGAUAAGCCACAGUUCUCCCCUCCUUGAUGCUACCUCAGAGAGAUAUAUGACUUCCCUGCAGAAUCCAUCUUCAUCCUGUGGGUGUAAAAAGACCCUUGAGCACGUCCCUUGGGUAAUAAAGCAGCUAGCUUCCACAGCUUUUUUUCAGCUACCGCUAAAAUGCUUUUAAAGGAACUACUCAAUAAAUUGGGCUAAUUUCAGUGGUGUUUAUCAUUCUAAUGGGGUGGUGCUCUGGGUAUAAUUAUGUACAAGAUAAACUGUCCAGUAGAGAGAAAAAGAAACUCCUGCACUCACAGCCAAGACAGGGAGAUGAAACUCUGCCCUGAGACUCAUGGGGACCCUUUCAUUCAUUGGUUGUGAGAGACUGCAGGCUUUAAGGACCUCUGCCAAUUCCAUCUCUCCCUACCUCCAACACAUCUGACCAGUGCAGUUCCCCGGGAUUCACUUUCUCCAAAUGGAAUCUAGAUUUCUUCCAGUGCAGUCUCAGGUUUCAUUUGCUUCUGCACAGAAGCCUCUCCGUCUUUGCCUCUGUCUGCAUUCCACUGAACCUCUGCUCACUCCUGCAGAACUGCUCACUGUUAAGCCACAUCGCUGCAUCCUUAAUCUGGCCGCAUGGUCUUUUGAAUCUAAACACAAGACUUGAAGUUUUUGUCUUUUUCUUUCAUUUUUAAUUUGAUAUUGCUAACUUUUACUCAGCUUUACAAAUCUCCAACUUCUGAAUGUUAUUUCUAUCAUUUAUUAUAUGAACAAAUAUUUCCAAGAAUGGAGAAAUCUACAAGUUUGGAAAGCAUGAACUCUUGUCUUCUUCCAAGUCAUUGAUGAAAAGUGUGGAACGUGGAUGCAGCUCUCUGUAAAUUUCCCUUGUGACCUGACUACAGGUUGACUUCAACCUACUGAGACAGUCAAAUUCCCUAUUGGCCAGUCCAGCUUCUGUGACAUGUUUUCAGUGAAUGCUUCCCAGACCCUAGAGACCGUCACUUUCCAGUCUAAAAAUUCAGAAUCACCAAUUCAAUGAUCUAUUCUAAAAUAUAGACAUAAAUUAGUAGUGUUUGUAACUUUUUCUCAUUAUAAAUG
rnacentral:lncRNA from 1 species